AGCUUUGCGCAGUGGCAGUAUCGUAGCCAAUGAGGUUUACCCGAGGCGCGAUUAUUGCUAAUUGAAAACUUAAAUGGUUGCUAACUUGAAGCUAGAAGUCCAUCAUCUUGAUUUUUGCUCAUUUUUGAUUUUCCUAAGAAA